rnacentral:rRNA from 1 species
GACGAAGGGGGCUAGCGUUGUUCGGAAUUACUGGGCGUAAAGCGUGCGCAGGCGGUUAUGCAAGACAGAUGUGAAAUCCCCGGGCUCAACCUGGGAACUGCAUUUGUGACUGCAUGGCUAGAGUGCGGCAGAGGGGGAUGGAAUUCCGCGUGUAGCAGUGAAAUGCGUAGAUAUGCGGAGGAACACCGAUGGCGAAGGCAAUCCCCUGGGCCUGCACUGACGCUCAUGCACGAAAGCGUGGGGAGCAAACAGG